GGACAGCCAUCCCGACCUCCUCCAGUCCGGCUCCAGCACCUUCGAGAUUCUUGAGACUGCAUUCAAGAAGGAGAAUGUCAGCCUAGUUAUGAGGGAGCAGUAUGUUGAGAAG